rnacentral:rRNA from 1 species
UAGCCGCGGUAAUACGUAGGGUGCAAGCGUUAAUCGGAAUUACUGGGCGUAAAGCGUGCGCAGGCGGUUAUAUAAGACAGUCGUGAAAUCCCCGGGCUCAACCUGGGAACUGCGAUUGUGACUGUAUGGCUAGAGUGUGUCAGAGGGGGGUAGAAUUCCACGUGUAGCAGUGAAAUGCGUAGAUAUGUGGAGGAAUACCGAUGGCGAAGGCAGCCCCCUGGGAUAACACUGACGCUCAUGCACGAAAGCGUGGGGAGCAAACAGGAUUAGAUACCCCCGUAGUCCCUGUCUCUUAUACACC